AGAGUUUGAUCCUGGCUCAGAAUCAACGCUGGCGGCGUGCCUAACACAUGCAAGUCGAACGCGAAAGGGGCUUCGGCCCUGAGUAGAGUGGCGAACGGGUGAGUAACACGUGGGUGACCUACCUUCGAAUGGGGGAUAACGUCCCGAAAGGGACGCUAAUACCGCAUAACAUCCUGCCUUUGAACAGGUGGAGAUCAAGGCUGGGGAUCGCAAGACCUGGCGUUUGAAGAGGGGCCCGCGUCCGAUUAGCUAGUUGGUGAGGUAAUGGCUCACCAAGGCAACGAUCGGUAGCCGGCCUGAGAGGGCGGACGGCCACACUGGGACUGAGACACGGCCCAGACUCCUACGGGAGGCAGCAGUGGGGAAUUGUUCGCAAUGGGCGCAAGCCUGACGACGCAACGCCGCGUGGAGGAUGAAGGUCUUCGGAUUGUAAACUCCUGUUGCCCGGGACGAAAUGCUUCGACCUAACACGUCGAAGUUUGACGGUACCGGGUGAGGAAGCCCCGGCUAACUCUGUGCCAGCCGCCGCGGUAAUUC
rnacentral:rRNA from 1 species